AUUGAACGCUGGCGGCAGGCCUAACACAUGCAAGUCGAGCGGAGCGGCGGACGGGAGAGUAAUGCCUAGGAAUCUGCCUGGUAGUGGGGGAUAACGUCCGGAAACGGGCGCUAAUACCGCAUACUAUCAGAUGAGCCUAGGUCGGAUUAGCUAGUUGGGGGGGUAAAGGCCUACCAAGGCAACGAUCCGUAACUGGUCUGAGAGGAUGAUGAGUCACACUGGAACUGAGACACGGUCCAGAUUCCUACGGGAGGCAGCAGUGGGGAAUAUUGGACAAGGGGUGAAGGCCGGAUGCAGCCAUGCGUCGGGUGGGAAGAGGGUUUUCGGAUUGUAAAGCACGUUAAGUUGGGAGGCGUUACCAACAUAAUAAGCACCGGCUAACUUCGUGCCAGCAGCCGCGGUAAUUC
rnacentral:rRNA from 1 species